rnacentral:rRNA from 1 species
AACGAACGCUGGCGGCAUGCCUAACACAUGCAAGUCGAACGAGACCUUCGGUUCUAUUGGCGCACGGGUGCGUAACGCUUGGGAACCUUCCCUUAGGUUCGGAAUACCUCCCCGAAAGGGGUGCUAAUACCGGAUAAUGUCUUCGGACCAAAGAUGUAUCGCCUUUGGAUGGGCCCGCGUUGGAUUAGCUAGUUGGUAGGGUAAAAGCCUACCAAGGCGACGAUCCAUAGCUGGUCUGAGAGGAUGAUCAGCCACACUGGGACUGAGACACGGCCCAGACUCCUACGGGAGGCAGCAGUGGGGAAUAUUGGACAAUGGGCGAAAGCCUGAUCCAGCAAUGCCGCGUGAGUGAUGAAGGACUUAGGGUUGUAAAGCUCUUUUACCAGGGAUGAUAAUGACAGUACCGGGAGAAUAAGCUCCGGCUAACUCCGUG